GGCGUUUGGCGUUGCAGCUGUGUGGGCGCUGGUGCGUGCGAGUAGCGCUCGAAGAAACCCAAAGGCGUCGUGGGGCUGCCGUGUGCCCCAGAGAGCACUGCAGGCCGGGUAGGGGCUAAGGCUCCCCGCAGUCUUCUGUGUGUCGUCCAGUACGCAGUUGAAAUCGUUCUCCAACCUGGCCAGUCCUCCGAGGCCCUUCUCAGGCGACCAGACUCUGUUAACAGAGUCCAUUGCUAAAACUCCUCGUUAGUAUUUACCACUCCUCCAGUCUGUGUUUUGAAGCAGUGGUUUUCAACCACUGCCCGUUUUCAGAAGAAAUCAUCUCAAGCGUCCGUGUGCUGCUAGAAGCCGGGCCGGGAGGUCUUGGUGCCGGACUCCACCCUGCAGCCCUUCCCUUUCGCCACCGCCCUGUGCUUAGAGAAACCUUAGAGUGGAGCAAUGAGUCGCCCUUGACUGAGUAACUCUUCGGGGUCAACUUCUCCUUCCACGCCAAGGAAAGGAUUCCAGGGCGAUGUUUCUGGAAAUAGAGAUCUGACCAAGCCACUGCUCUGGUGAAAAUUCAGUGGGUCCCUAGCACCUAGUGCAGCGGCUCCUAGCCUGAGUAUUGCCGUCUUUCGGUGGGGAGGGGUUGGGUUUUUUUGUAGCAUCUGUUGAUCUGAUCUCCAACAUCCUCCACGUCAAUUCCCACUCCACCCACAUCCCUUAUCCUAUACGUAAGCUUUCCAGCCACGGUGCUGGCUUGGGUGGGGGUGCGUGCGGUGCUGACACCAAAAUGGAGGUCCCGUGUUUCUGAGAGUCUCUUUCAGAGCAAUGCAAACCUGAAACUACUCCUGCCAAGAAACGAUUGCAGCUCUUCCCGGAAAAGUUAAAGCCUUUGAGAAACAAAGCUGAGUAAGAAGGAGAACUAAGAAAGAGACUGAAGCAUGGUCUGUGGAGAAGGCACUUGUGCAAACACCAGGAGAAUGAGGGGCCUGAGUUGUCUUCGUUUCUCCUAAAAGCAUGCAUUCCCGGCUGGGCGCGGUGACUCAUGCGUGUAAUCCCGCCACUUUAGAAGGCUGAGGCAGGCGGAUCACCUGAGAUCGGGAGUUCGAGACCAGCCCGACCAACAUGGAGAAACCCCAUCUCUAUUAAAAAUACAAAAUUACCCAGGCAUGGUGGCACAUGCCUGUAAUCCCAGCUACUUGGGAGGCGAAGGCAGGAGAAUUGCUUGAACCCAGAAGGCGGAAGCUGCAGAGAGCCGAGAUUUCGCCAUUGUACUCCAGCCUGGGCAACAAGAGUGAAACUCCAUCUC
rnacentral:lncRNA from 1 species